rnacentral:rRNA from 1 species
GACGAACGCUGGCGGCGUGCUUAACACAUGCAAGUCGAACGGAAAGGCCCUGCUUUUGUGGGGUGCUCGAGUGGCGAACGGGUGAGUAACACGUGAGUAACCUGCCCUUGACUUUGGGAUAACUUCAGGAAACUGGGGCUAAUACCGGAUAGGAGCUCCUGCUGCAUGGUGGGGGUUGGAAAGUUUCGGCGGUUGGGGAUGGACUCGCGGCUUAUCAGCUUGUUGGUGGGGUAGUGGCUUACCAAGGCUUUGACGGGUAGCCGGCCUGAGAGGGUGACCGGGAGCGUUGAGUGGGAGAGCCGACAGGGAAGCGGACGGGAGUCAGGUGGGGGAAAGCUUGCGCGGGGGGCGGAAGCAUGAUCGAGCAACGCGGGGUGGGGGAGGCUGGUCUUGGGGUUGAAGCCCGCUGUCGGUGGGGACGAGGGGUGAGAGACGAUAAGGUGUAAAGAAGCAACGGCAAACUACGUGACAGCAGACGAUUGAAAAGAUAGAUGCGCACACGUCAAAC